GUCCCUACGGGGCGCAGCAGUGGGGAAUAUUGCACAAUGGGGGAAACCCUGAUGCAGCAACGCCGCGUGAAGGAAGACGGUUUUCGGAUUGUAAACUUCUAUCAAUAGGGAAGAAAGAAAUGACGGUACCUAAAUAAGAAGCACCGGCUAACUACGUGCCAGCAGCCGCGGUAAUACGUAGGGUGCAAGCGUUAUCCGGAUUUACUGGGUGUAAAGGGCGAGUAGACGGCGUUGCAAGUCAGAUGUGAAAGGCUAGGGCUCAACCUUAGGAGAGCAUCUGAAACUGUAAUGCUAGAGUGCAGGAG
rnacentral:rRNA from 1 species